rnacentral:rRNA from 1 species
GUACGGGAGGCAGCAGUGGGGAAUAUUGCACAAUGGACGAAAGUCUGGUGCAGCAACGCCGCGUGGAGGAUGACACAUUUCGGUGCGUAAACUCCUUUUAUAUGGGAAGAUAAUGACGGUACCAUAUGAAUAAGCACCGGCUAACUCCGUGCCAGCAGCCGCGGUAAUACGGAGGGUGCAAGCGUUACUCGGAAUCACUGGGCGUAAAGAGCGUGUAGGCGGGUAGUUAAGUCAGAAGUGAAAUCCAAUAGCUCAACUAUUGAACUGCUUUUGAAACUGAUUACCUAGAAUAUGGGAGAGGUAGAUGGAAUUUCUGGUGUAGGGGUAAAAUCCGUAGAGAUCAGAAGGAAUACCGAUUGCGAAGGCGAUCUACUGGAACAUUAUUGACGCUGAGACGCGAAAGCGUGGGGAGCAAACAGGAUUAGAUACCCGUGUAC